rnacentral:rRNA from 1 species
CCUACGGGAGGCUGCAGUGAGGAAUAUUGGUCAAUGGGAGAAAUGCUGAACCAGCCAAGCCGCGUGAGGGAAGAAGGUGCCAAGCGUUGUAAACUUCUUUUGUCGGAGGACAAAAUCCGGGUCGAGUCCCUGACCGCGUGUAUUUGAAGAAAAAGCAUCGGCUAACUCCGUGCCAGCAGCCGCGGUAAUACGGAGGAUGCGAGCGUUAUCCGGAUUUAUUGGGUUUAAAGGGUGCGUAGGCGGUCUGUUAAGUCAGCGGUAAAAUCGCGGGGCUCAACCCCGUCGAGCCGUUGAAACUGGCUGACUUGAGAUGGCGAGAGGUACGCGGAAUGCGCGGUGUAGCGGUGAAAUGCAUAGAUAUCGCGCAGAACUCCGAUUGCGAAGGCAGCAUACCGGCGGCGGUCUGACGCUGAGGCACGAAAGCGUGGGUAUCGAACAGGAUUAGAUACCCGGGUAGUC